UACGUAGGGGCGAGCGUUGUCCGGAUUUAUUGGGCGUAAAGAGCGUGUAGGCGGCCAGACAGGUCCGUUGUGAAACUCGAGGCUCAACCUCGAGACGCCGAUGGAAACCGUCUGGCUAGAGUCCGGAAGAGGAGAGUGAAGUUCCUGGUGUAGCGGUGAAAUGCGCAGAUAUCAGGAAGAACACCCGUGGCUAAGGCGGCUCUCUAGUACGGUACUGACGCUGAGACGCGAAGCGUGGGAGCGAACAGG
rnacentral:rRNA from 1 species